UUUCCUACGGGAGGCAGCAGUUGGGAAUAUUGGAAAAUGGGGGCAAUCCUGAUCCAUCCAUACCACGUGGGUGAAGAAGGCCUUCGGGUUGUAAAACCCCUUUAUUGGGAAAGACAAGCAUUCGGUUAAUACCCGGGUGUUCUGACGGUCCCCAAGGAAUAAGCCCCGGCUAAUUUCGUGCCAGCAGCCCCGGUAAAACGAGGGGUGCAAGGGUUUCUUGGAAUUUCUGGGCGAAAAGGGUGCGUAGGUGGUGGUUUAAGUCCGUUGUGAAAUCCCCGGGCUCAACCUGGGAAUUGCAGUGGAUACUGGGUCACUGGAGUGUGGUAGAGGGUAGUGGAUUCUUCGGUGUUACGGUGAAAUGCGUAGAGAUCGGAAGGAACAUCUUUGGGGAAGGAGGCUUUCUGGGCCAUCACUGCCCCUGAGGCUGGAAAGCGUGGGGAGCAAACAGGAUUAGAUUCCCUGGUAGUCCACGCCCUAACCUUUAAUGCUAUGGGUGUUGGGGUCUACAACGACCCCCCGAGCGCACCUAACGGAUCAAAUAAAUUAUCCUGUAAAAUAUUAAUUUUU
rnacentral:rRNA from 1 species